AACCUCAGAUAGUUGACCAGAUAACUGGAUGAGGGAUCUGCGUAAAGUAGUCAACCUCUGUAUUUGACCAGAUAACUGGAAGAUGGAUCCUUUUCAAUUAAGUGUUGUUUAGUUGUUUUUAGAUGAAAGAUAAAAACUAAAGUUAACAAAGAACAACACAAGAGAUUUAUACUGGUUCACCCAAACAAGGGCUAAUCCAGUCCCGACCAACUGUCGGAAUUCACUCGCCUAAAGGUUAUGGCAAAACCUUAGAGUAUCAAGGAAACUCUUAAGAACCUCUAUAAGCUUUAAGGCUACUUCGCUUAGAAACCUACAGUCUUUUACGGGUAGACUCACACCUUAGAGUAUCAAGGUCACUCUUAAGAACCUCUAACUUUUGCGGGUAAGUUAGUACCUUAGAGUAUCAAGGAACUCUUAAAAACCU
rnacentral:lncRNA from 1 species